rnacentral:rRNA from 1 species
GUGGGGAAUAUUGGACAAUGGGCGAAAGCCUGAUCCAGCCAUGCCGCGUGAGUGAUGAAGGCCUUAGGGUUGUAAAGCUCUUUUGUCCGGGAAGAUAAUGACUGUACCGGAAGAAUAAGCCCCGGCUAACUUCGUGCCAGCAGCCGCGGUAAUACGAAGGGGGCUAGCGUUGCUCGGAAUCACUGGGCGUAAAGGGCGCGUAGGCGGACUUUUAAGUCGGAGGUGAAAGCCCAGGGCUCAACCCUGGAAUUGCCUUGGAUACUGGGAGUCUUGAGUGCGGAAGAGGUUGGUGGAACUGCGAGUGUAGAGGUGAAAUUCGUAGAUAUUCGCGAGAACACCGGUGGCGAAGGCGGCCAACUGGUCCGAAACUGACGCUGAGGCGCGAAAGCGUGGGGAGCAAACAGGAUUAGAAACCCCAGUAGUCC